rnacentral:rRNA from 1 species
UAACGCGUGAGCAACCUGCCUUGAAGUGGGGGACGAACAGUUGGAAACGACUGCUAAUACCGCAUAAAAUAUCUGCAUCGCAUGGUGCGGAUAUCAAAGAUUUAUCGCUUCGAGAUGGGCUCGCGUCUGAUUAGGUAGUUGGCGGGGUAAUGGCCCACCAAGCCGACGAUCAGUAGCCGGACUGAGAGGUUGAACGGCCACAUUGGGACUGAGAUACGGCCCAGACUCCUACGGGAGGCAGCAG